rnacentral:rRNA from 1 species
GACGAACGCUGGCGGCGUGCCUAAUACAUGCAAGUCGAGCGAUGAAGAUUGGUGCUUGCACCAAUUUGAAGAGCCGCGCACGGGAGAGUAACGCGUGUGGACUCUGCCUGUGAGCGGGGGACAACAUUUGGAAACGAAUGCUAAUACCGCAUAACAACUUGAAACAUAAUUUGUAAGUGUGAAAGAUGCAAGUUCAUCACUCACAGACGGUCCCUCGUUGUGUUAGCUAGGUGGUGAGGUAAAGGCUCACCAAGGCGAUGAUACAUAGACGACCUGAGAGGGUGGUCGGCCGCAUUGAGAGUGAGACAGGGCCCAAAGUCCUUCAGGAAGGAGCAGGAGGGCAACUUCGGGCAUGGGCGGAAGUCUGACCGAGAAACGCGGAGUGCGGGAAGAAGGUUUCCGGAUCGUAAAACUCUGUUGGUGGGGAAGAACGUGCGUGAGAGUGGAAAGCUGAUCAAGUGACGGUAACUACUCAAAAAGCGACGGCUAACUACGUG